AACGAACGCUGGCGGCAUGCCUAACACAUGCAAGUCGAACGAGACCUUCGGGUCUAGUGGCGCACGGGUGCGUAACGCGUGGGAACCUGCCCUUAGGUUCGGAAUAACUCAGAGAAAUUUGAGCUAAUACCGGAUAAUGUCUUCGGACCAAAGAUUUAUCGCCUUUGGAUGGGCCCGCGUAGGAUUAGCUUGUUGGUGGGGUAAUGGCCUACCAAGGCGACGAUCCUUAGCUGGUCUGAGAGGAUGAUCAGCCACACUGGGACUGAGACACGGCCCAGACUCCUACGGGAGGCAGCAGUGGGGAAUAUUGGACAAUGGGCGAUAGCCUGAUCCAGCAAUGCCGCGUGAGUGAUGAAGGCCUUAGGGUUGUAAAGCUCUUUUACCAGGGAUGAUAAUGACAGUACCUGGAGAAUAAGCUCCGGCUAACUCCGUG
rnacentral:rRNA from 1 species